rnacentral:rRNA from 1 species
GUCAGAGGCCGUAGCGCGGUGGUCCCACCUGACCCCAUGCCGAACUCAGAAGUGAAACGCCGUAGCGCCGAUGGUAGUGUGGGGUCUCCCCAUGCGAGAGUAGGGAACUGCCAGGC